CACUUUCACUUUAUGAAGAAUGAUAGCGUUAAAUGUUACUUGUAUAUAAUUGUUAUGCACAAGAUAGUAUAGUUUCAUAUGUAUUGACCAUUUGAUUGUCCAGAAAGAAGAAGGGAAAUCGUAGUGUUAUAUUUAUUGAUUUCUUUCGGUUAUGAAGUGUGUACCGUUCUAAAGAAAUGCAUAAUAUCUUCGCAAG